GACGAACGCUGGCGGCGUGCUUAACACAUGCGAGUCGAGCGGUAAGGCUCCUUCGGGCGUACACGAGCGGCGAACGGGUGAGUAACACGUGCGUAAUCUGCCCUUCACUUCGGGAUAACCACCGGAAACGGCGGCUAAUACCGAAUACGACCAGUCUUCGCAUGAGGUGCUGGUGGAAAGUCUUUUCGGUGAUGGAUGUGCUCGCGGCCUAUCAGCUUGUUGGUGGGGUAAUGGCCUACCAAGGCGUCGACGGGUAGCCGGGCUGAGAGGGUGACCGGCCACACUGGGACCGAGACACGGCCGAGACGCCGACGGGAGGCAGCAGUGGGGAAGAUUGGACAAUGGGCGAAAGCCUGAUCCAGCAGCGCCGCGUGAGGGAUGACGGCCUUCGGGUUGUAAACCUCGUUCAGUACCGUCGAAGCGCCCUGGCGGGUGGUGACGGUAGGUACAGAAGAAGGACCGGCCAACUACGUG
rnacentral:rRNA from 1 species